ensembl:snoRNA
CCCCUUUUAAAAGCACUCCGUGGGCCUUUGUGCCAGUGGCCCACUGAGCCGUCAAGAAGGGGCAGAGUGAAAACACCGCUUUUGGGUGAAGUGGCAACACGUGUUGUUUGCUUCAAUCGGUGUUGUGACAUGA